AUUGAACGCUGGCGGCAGGCUUAACACAUGUAAGUCGAGCGGAUGAAGGUAGCUUGCUACUGGAUUCGGCGGCGGACGGGUGAGUAAUGCUUAGGAAUCUGCCUAUUAGUGGGGGACAACGUUCCGAAAGGAGCGCUAAUACCGCAUACGUCCUACGGGAGAAAGCAGGGGACCUUCGGGCCUUGCGCUAAUAGAUGAGCCUAAGUCGGAUUAGCUAGUUGGUAGGGUAAAGGCCUACCAAGGCGACGAUCUGUAGCGGGUCUGAGAGGAUGAUCCGCCACACUGGGACUGAGACACGGCCCAGACUCCUACGGGAGGCAGCAGGGGGGAAUAUUGGACAAUGGGGGGAACCCUGAUCCAGCCAUGCCGCGUGUGUGAAGAAGGCCUUUUGGUUGUAAAGCACUUUAAGCGAGGAGGAGGCUACCUAGAUUAAUACUUUAGGAUAGUGGACGUUACUCGCAGAAUAAGCACCGGCUAGCUCUGUGCCAGCCGCCGCAGUAAUAC
rnacentral:rRNA from 1 species